AUUUUCACUUUGGCAACAGAUAUACUAAAAUUGGAACAUUACCAUGAUUAGUACGGCCCCUGCACAAGAAUGACAAGCGCAUUUUUAAGCCAAAAAGCAGAGAA